AGUGAUUAUAGAGGAGGAGUUUUGUCAUUGAUGGGAACCAACGUCAUAUUUAUGAUAUUGUGGCUGCAUUACUUUUGUUUGGGAGAGGUACUAGAGAACCAGUAACACAGAUAAAAGAUGCAGUUCCUAAGAGAUCCAAAGUCAGCAGCACCUAAGACUAUACUGAUCAUGACUUUGAAUUAUCAGCAUCCAAAACAAUGCAAAUCAAAUACAGGUUUUGUCUGUACAUCUGGCAAUCUUGGGGCAAUACUGGAUGGUUUUAACUCCAGCAUGAAGACCAGCCAUGUGCCUCACCUGUCAUGACAUUAUUAAAGUACUUUGUGACAGUGGGAUGAUGGAAUAUUAAAGAAUGGACAUGGCUCUAUAUUACUGCAUCAGAGAUCAAUCCAGGUUUACUUAUAAAUCAAAGAAAAACACUUAAACAGUCAAGCAUCAUUUGAAGCUACAUGUGUCACCGCUUUAACAAUAUGCCUGCUUAUAUAACCAAGAAAGCACAGUGACCAGUUGUACCUAUGAUGUCGGACAAGAUCCCGAAAAAACUUCCAGUACACUCAUCACUAUAUGCAAAGAAUUGAAAAUUCUAAAUGACUUGUAUCAACACUUUUGUACUUCAUCUGGCUUGUAUUUUCAGUACUCAUUAGCUUUUAGCUUCCUGCAAACAAAAUUUCAUAAGUACUAACUUGCAGGUGUAAAAUAUUUGAAACAGUUUGCUUGUCCCAAAGGAAAUUCUGCAAAUUAGCAGUGGCAUGAACAGUUGAUUGAUGUCACAGUUCCACCGGCAAAGUAUUUGUAGCUGAAUGGUGCCAUGUAAAACACUUUUCACAAGAACAUGGAAAACAUCCUAGAAGUGAGGAUCUACAAGAAAUUAAGAGAAUUCUUUCUUGAAUAUUUUCAAUGUUAUAAAAUGCUUGUGUACAUCCUUUAUAUAUAAAACUAAUUAC